UACGGAGGGAGCUAGCGUUGUUCGGAAUUACUGGGCGUAAAGCGCACGUAGGCGGCUUUCUAAGUCGGGGGUGAAAUCCUGGAGCUCAACUCCAGAACUGCCUUCGAUACUGGAAAGCUCGAGUCCGGGAGAGGUGAGUGGAACUGCGAGUGUAGAGGUGAAAUUCGUAGAUAUUCGCAAGAACACCAGUGGCGAAGGCGGCUCACUGGCCCGGUACUGACGCUGAGGUGCGAAAGCGUGGGGAGCGAACAGG
rnacentral:rRNA from 1 species